rnacentral:rRNA from 1 species
ACGGGUGAGUAACACGUGAGCAACCUGCCCUAGGCUUUGGGAUAACCCCGGGAAACCGGGGCUAAUACCGAAUAGGACCUGCUACCGCAUGGUGGUGGGUGGAAAGUUUUUCGGCCUGGGAUGGGCUCGCGGCCUAUCAGCUUGUUGGUGGGGUGAUGGCCUACCAAGGCGACGACGGGUAGCCGGCCUGAGAGGGCGACCGGCCACACUGGGACUGAGACACGGCCCAGACUCCUACGGGAGGCAGCAGUGGGGAAUAUUGCACAAUGGGCGGAAGCCUGAUGCAGCGACGCCGCGUGAGGGAUGACGGCCUUCGGGUUGUAAACCUCUUUCAGCAGGGACGAAGCGUAAGUGACGGUACCUGCAGAAGAAGCGCCGGCCAACUACGUGCCAGCAGCCGCGGUAAGACGUAGGGCGCGAGCGUUGUCCGGAUUUAUUGGGCGUAAAGAGCUCGUAGGCGGCUUGUCGCGUCGACUGUGAAAACCCGCAGCUCAACUGCGGGCCUGCAGUCGAUACGGGCAGGCUAGAGUUCGGUAGGGGAGACUGGAAUUCCUGGUGUAGCGGUGAAAUGCGCAGAUAUCAGGAGGAACACCGGUGGCGAAGGCGGGUCUCUGGGCCGAUACUGACGCUGAGGAGCGAAA